CCCUUUCAUGUUCUGAGCCUCUACGUGGCGAAAGGGAUCAACAGACUCUCUAAUCUGGCUAAUCAGUA
rnacentral:ribozyme from 1 species